AACACCGCGCCGCUACAACUGUAGACUAGUAGAGUUCAGAUGAUGAUGCUAUCAUCCAUCUCUUGUUUGUUGUAAUAUUAUACCAUGUUGUACGUGCGACGGAUCCUCCCUCCCUCGAGACGCGGGCGGCGGCGAAAGCGACCCGAAUCCAAAAAAAAUAAAGCGAACCGGAACAGAAAGCGCCCCGCCUUCCCCGCGUUCAGUUCAGUUCUCUUCGUCGCCGCGCACCGCCCGUCCUCC
rnacentral:lncRNA from 1 species